CAGAUUAUCGACUUGUAAAGUAGGCGACGUCGGUUCGGUGAGCUAAAACAAACAAACAGUUUGCAACUGAACCAAAUCCUGCAGAUGCUGAUAAAAUCCCGAAGAGCGCAACCCGUUUGGAGCUGCCAAAAUUAAAUUCCUCUCCGUCACUGGUCGGGGUUGGUUUUCCAUAUUUCCUUCCCGAUUAGAAGCAGACACAGAGAGAAAAAGAGGGGUAAAUCGCUUUUGUUGUGUGCUAACGUAGAAAUAUAGCAAACUAUUUAUCUUUGGAAUGAAAAGUUCCAAUCAUGGCAUCACAAUCAGUUGAAGAUGUUUUCCUCGCUACUGAAUGGAAUAUCAUGGAGGGCAGAUGAAAGUAGUCUGAUAACUGAAGCUUGUUCAAAAUAUAAUUCAGUAUUAAAUUCUAUAUAUAGUAGCUGCCAACAAAUAAAGACAAACAAUCAGAUCCUAUAGUAUUUCAGUUUGUUUAGCGUCUUCGGUUGGGACACACCGUAUCCUGUUUACCCGGCGGCGCUCGUAAAUCAAUUGUGCCACAGUUUACUAACCCGACCUGGCCGGAUGGUGUGUGCGGUUGGUUUCUGAUUCCCACCGAGACUAGCAGCACCGGCGACCAAUGCGAAACCGACGAAGAACCAUAGUCUAGUCAUCAUCAUCAUCAUCUGUUGAGGCGAGGUCACUUCUCGACGAUGCGAAAACUACUCACACACAGACCCACGGUCGAGACCAGCCAAGCGAAGCUCCGUUGGUCUGCGAAUCGAAACAAAAAAAAAGUGCACAGUCGAUGAAGAUAUCAUGACUCACCUCACCUCCAGAUAGUAGAUGUGGAAGCAAGUUCAAGCACUGCCGUAUUG